CCCCCCGUAGCUCAGCUGGACAGAGCGGCGGACUUCUAAUCCGCGGGUCGCGCGUUCGAGUCGCGCCGGGGGGA
rnacentral:tRNA from 1 species